CCUACGGGAGGCAGCAGUGAGGAAUAUUGGUCAAUGGGCGGAAGCCUGAACCAGCCAAGUAGCGUGCGGGAUGAAUGCCCUACGGGUCGUAAACCGCUUUUGCACGGGGAUAACACCCUCCACUUGUGGAUUUCUGCAGGUACCGUGCGAAUAAGGGCCGGCUAAUUCCGUGCCAGCAGCCGCGGUAAUACGGAAGGCCCGAGCGUUAUCCGGUUUCAUUGGGCUAAAAGGGAGCGUAGGCGGGCGUUAAAGUCAGCUGUAAAAUUGCGCGGCUCAACCGAGCCCCGCAGUUGAAACUGGAAGCCUUGAGUACACAACAGGCAGGCGGAAUUCGUGGUGUAGCGGUGAAAUGCAUAGAUAUAACGAAGAACCCCGAUUGCGAAGGCAGCCUGCCGGGGUGCGACUGACGCUGAGGCUCGAAGGUGCGGGUAUCAAACAGGAUUAGAUACCCGGGUAGUC
rnacentral:rRNA from 1 species